CGAACGCUGGCGGCGUGCCUAAUACAUGCAAGUCGAACGCUUUUCUUCACCGGGUGCUUGCACUCAUCGAAGGAAAAGAGUGGCGGACGGGUGAGUAACACGUGGGUAACCUACCUAUAAGCGGGGGAUAACAUUCGGAAACGGAUGCUAAUACCGCAUAAAUCUUGAUGCCACAUGGCAUCUGGAAGAAAGACGGCUUCGGCUGUCACUUAUAGAUGGACCCGCGGCGCAUUAGUUAGUUGGUGAGGUAAUGGCUCACCAAGACGAUGAUGCGUAGCCGACCUGAGAGGGUGAUCGGCCACACUGGGACUGAGACACGGCCCAGACUCCUACGGGAGGCAGCAGUAGGGAAUCUUCCGCAAUGGACGAAAGUCUGACGGAGCAACGCCGCGUGAGUGAAGAAGGUUUUCGGAUCGUAAAACCCUGUUGUUAGAGAAGAACAAGGAUGAGAGUAACUGUUCAUCCCUUGACGGUAUCUAACCAGAAAGCCAUGGCUAACUACGUG
rnacentral:rRNA from 1 species